rnacentral:rRNA from 1 species
GUCGAGCGGCAGCACAGCCGUAGCAAUACUGUGGGUGGCGAGUGGCGGACGGGUGAGGAAUACAUCGGAAUUUGCCCUGUCGUGGGGGAUAACGUAGGGAAACUUACGCUAAUACCGCAUACGACCUUACGGUGAAAGCGGGGGAUCGCAAGACCUCGCGCGGCUGGAGAAGCCGAUGUCAGAUUAGCUAGUUGGCGGGGUAAAGGCCCACCAAGGCGACGAUCUGUAGCUGGUCUGAGAGGAUGAUCAGCCACACUGGGACUGAGACACGGCCCAGACUCCUACGGGAGGCAGCAGUGGGGAAUAUUGGACAAUGGGCGCAAGCCUGAUCCAGCAAUGCCGCGUGUGUGAAGAAGGCCUUCGGGUUGUAAAGCACUUUUAUCUGGAACGAAAUCUGCAGGGCUAAUACCCAUGCAGUCUGACGGUACCAGAGGAAUAAGCACCGGCUAACUUCGUGCCAGCAGCCGCGGUAAU